rnacentral:tRNA from 1 species
GAUAGCGCGCCGGUGGACGGAUAUCAUUGAUGAUGAUAAAUACGAGCUUAUAGCUCCGCUAUCU